ensembl:lncRNA
CACCCCCCAACCAGAGGGGAUCCCAACUCUCUCCAUUCCCACCACCCCCAACCCUUUCCUCCCCCUGCAGCUCCCCCUCGGAAUCCACCUCGGAAUCGCGCUCCCGGUCCCGCUCCCCAUCCCCCGGCCACGAGGAGAAGAUCACCUUCAUCACCAGCUUCGGGGGCAGUGACGAGGAAGCCGCCUCCGCUCAAUCCGCCGCCGGCGUUCCCGGGAAAACCGGCGCUCUGGGAAAAGCGCGCUGCGGUGCCGGGCAGCCGGGCAGUGCCACCGCAGGUCAUAGCGCCUCGUCCCGGCGCCGCUCUUCGUCCUCCUCCUCCUCGCCCUCCUCCUCCUCGUCCUCCAGCUCCCGCUCCAGCUCCCGUUCGCACCGCGCCGGCCCCUACCACCGCUCCGGCCGCUACCGCCGCUCCCGCAGCCGCCGCUAUUCCCGCUCGCGCUCCCGCAGCCGCCGUUAUUCGGGGGGGGGCUCGCGCGACAGCCGCCGCCGCUCCCGCUCCUAUUCCCCGGACCGAGGUUAUCGCUACAGCUCCCGACGCCGCUCCCGGUGCGUCCCCGCCGUGGGGUUUUCCGUUUCGGGGAUGGGGUGGUUAGGUCAGAACAACUGAAUUCCCCCCAAAUUGCAGCUGUAGGGACCCCAGACUGUCUCCAUUGUCCCCAGAGGGGAUUAUGGAUAUUCCCCCCCCCCAUUUGCCCCAGGUUGCAGCUGUCUGGACCCCAGAGUGCCGCUCUGUGCCCCAAAUUCCCCAUUAUUUGCCCCAGAUUGCAGCCCCAGAGCCCUUCAGCGUCCCCAUGUGCCCCAGAGUCUCCUGGGUCUGAACAGACAGCCCCAGAAGCCCCAAAUUCCCCAAGAUUUGCCCCAAGUCAUCCCUAUGGGCCCCAGUACAGCCCUGUGUGCCCCAAAUCCUACUUACUUGCCCCAAAUUCCCCUUUUUUGCCCCCCAAAUUUCCCCCAUGGCCCCAGUGGCAGUCCCAAGCCUCCCUUAUUUGCCCCAAAUCCCACUUAAUUUGCCUCAAAAUGUCCCCCUGGACUGGUUGGGUCAACUGCAAAGAUUGGGUUGGGUCGACUGGGAAGAACUCACGUUAGGACAAGACCCCAGUUGGACAACUGGGAAGAACCCGCCUUGGGACAAGACCCCAGUUAGUCAACUGGGAAGACCCCCAUUUGGAAAAGACGCCACAGUUGGUCAACUGGGAAGACCCCACACUGGUACAAGAUCCCAGUUGGUCAAUGGGGAUAAUCCCAUGCUGGGGGAAGAUCGCAGUUGGUCAACUGGGAAGACCCUGUGUUGGGUCAACUGAGAAAGACCCCAUGUUGGGACAAGACUCCAGUUGGUCAACUGGGAUGACCCUGUAUUGGGGCAAGACCCCAGUUGGUUAACUGGGAUAAUCCCAUGCUGGGGGAAGAUCGCAGUUGAUCAACUGGGAAGACCCUGUGUUGGGUCAACUGGGAAGACCCUGUGGUGGGACAAGACCCCAGUUGGUCAACUGGGAUGACCCUGCAUUGGGGCAAAACCCCAGUUGGUCAACUGGGAUAAUCCGAUGCUGGGGGAAGAUCGCAGAUGGUCAACUGGGAAAGACCGCACACUGGUACAAGACCCCAGUUGGUCAACUGGGAAGACCCCAUGUUGGGACAAGACCCCAGUUGGUCAACUGGGAAGACCCCACACUAGGACAAGACCCCAGUUGGUCAACUGGGAAGACCCCACACUAGGACAAGACCCCA